UUAAUUCAUGCAAGAGAGAAAGGUAGUGUUAUUGCUUUGAAGUGAUUUUAGUGUUGGAAAUUACGAUAUGAAAUUAUUACAAAAUGCUAGAUUAUGUUUACUGUGGUUUAUUAUAACAAUUCAACAUUAAAAAGUUCUUUCAAGUGCAAAGGGAAAUCUUAGUGAUAUAAAACUUGGUGCAGUAAUAGACAUGCUAGUCGCUGUGUGCUUCUGAGCCAUGAAGGUCGUUGGGACAACGUGACAGACAAGGUAUGUCUUUCGAAUGGCUGUAAAAUGGAGUACGAUACAGGGGCAUCUGAUGAUUUUCGAUUUCGUCCUGUGGGGACGUGGUGGCAAAACUGAACAGAUUCCUAACCUUGGCACUAGAAGGAAGUGAGUGGCCAGCUUUACGCUCCGGCUGCCUUAACCCCGAGCAAAGGCUUCCAUUAUUUACUGGAUACAAGGCUGGUAGGAUCCCUGAGCCUGACUGGAAGUUGUGGCGUACAGAAAAUUACAACCCUGCCUGGAAUCGAACCCUAACCUGGUCCAUAUAUCCACUGGGCUGUCACAGCUUCUGGAUUCUGAACAUUGCUCUGCAAGAGAGUCAGAAAGAAUCCGAAUAGGAAUUUUGAAAGAUAUUGAUGGAAGGAAAUUAUGCCAAUAUUCUAAGCGAAAUCUAAGAAUUUCCGUUGUUUUAAACCUCUAUAAACAGGAAAUGUAUCAGCGUUGUAUAUUCAGUUGUCUUAUGUCGUUAGGUGUGUUUUCACUGAGCGGGAAAAUUGUCAGUCGGAAAAAAAUUCUGGUUGGUAAAGAUUUGUAAACACCUUGUGUAGUUGUACUGUGACCUGACAUGAAAAUCUGUUUAAUAAAAUGAAGGUUAAGUGCCUGGAUAUCCUGUCAAGAAGGGAACAACUCAGAUAUUCUUAAGGGUUUCUCAGCAUCGAUGAUGUCGAAUAGACUUUUAAGUUGGUUGUCACUCGGGUAUUUCAGGAUUUAUUCCGAGUACCCGUGGUCUUGCACUAAAAGAAACUGUUGAGACCAGCUGUUUCUAAAUGCGUGGAGUAUUCUUUGUAGUCUGGGAUUACUCGGAAUUUGCACCAGUGGAAAUUAUAGGAACUGUGUGCCUGUACGUUGACCAUUAAAUAUUAUCAUUACUCAGAUAUAGUUCUUGCUAGCCUCACCAGUAAGAAAGUAAAUUCUUCUGAAACAUAUUAAAAAUUGUGCUAGUGUUUACGCGAGGUGAAUAAAACCACAAAACGAUCUAAUUAAUCUGUGAUGAAAUGUAUCCGGUCCUAAGUGCAUUAGAAGCAUGUACCUACAUGUGUUACUGAUUUCGAUUCUCGAUGGAGUCGAUUGUUCUUCUUUUCGAUAUUUGUGGUACGUAAUCGAUAGUAAGCUCCAGUGAAACGAGAGUGGUUAGUCGUUUCUAACUUUAAAAUACGCUCUCGCUUCGUCUUUGUUAGUUACAUAAAGCAAAGUUGAACCUACUCUGGGGUAAGGAAACUUGAAAAUAAGUGUUAUUUAUCCUUUAUCUGAAGUUAGUUCCACAUUCUUUGAUAGGAAUGUACUUAAACUCGUGUAACAUGGCCUCGUAUUUGAAAAUCGAUAAAUCAUAGCUAAAUUUAUACAAAUAAAUGUGGUGUAGUCGUAAGAAGUAAUUUUAAUCAACUCUGAUAGGAAUGUUAAGAAGGCUGUAUGCACAGCUCUGGAGACUGACUUCGGCUUUAGAAUUUUUGGCCUUGUACAUCUGACUAGCCCUUUUAUAGCAGAGCUAAUCUGAAGAAUAAGAACAAGAAGUUUGCAGCCGAAGAUAUCUUGACAUAGAUGUAUUCCUUCAUCACCGAUGAUUUAUUUGGAAUCUAAAUGUCGCCGCAAAAUAACACACACAGACACUCUCUCUCGUGUGUUGUUUAUAUCUUUUUAAUUAUGUGUAAAUAAAACUCUCAACUACAGUA